rnacentral:sRNA from 1 species
GCUAGGCGUAGUGGCGCACACCUGUAAUCCCAGCAACUCGGGAGGCUGAGGCAGGAAUAUCAUGAGUUAAAAGCCAGACUCAGCAAUGGUGAGGCACGAAGCAAUUCAGUGAGACCCUGUCUCUA